ACAAAAAUUCCCAAUUUGAUGUGUCUGAAACAAGUCCUCAUUUACUUGGAGAAAAAAUAAAUGUUUUUGUUCUUAUAAAAACUUUAAAUUAGAUAAAUAGAUACAUAAAAUAAGGGUGAAAUCUAAGGUCAUUAAAAUAUAAGAAAAUGGUGAAAUCUAAGGUCAUUAAAACAUAAAAUAAGGGUGAAAUCUAAGGUCAUUAAAACAUAAGAUAAGGGUGAAAUCUCAGGUCAUUAAAACAUAAGAUAAGGGUGAAAUCUCAGGUCAUUAAACAUAAAAUAAGGGUGAAAUCUCAGGUCAUUAAAACAUAAAAUAAGGGUGAAAUCUAAGGUCAUUAAAACAUAAAAUAAGGGUGAAAUCUAAGGUCAUUAAAACAUAAAAUAAGGGUGAAAUCUCAGGUCAUUAAACAUAAAAUAAGGGUGAAAUCUCAGGUCAUUAAAACAUAAAAUAAGGGCGAAAUCUCAGGUCAUUAAAACAUAAAAUAAGGGUGAAAUCUCAGGUCAUUAAAACAUAAAAUAAGGGUGAAAUCUAAGGCCAUUAAAACAUAAAAUAAGGGUGAAAUCUAAGGUCAUUAAAACAUAAAAUAAGGGUGAAAUCUAAGGCCAUUAAAACACAAAAUAAGGGUGGAAUCUAAGGGCAUUAAAACAUAAAAUAAGGGUGAAAUCUAAGGUCAUUAAAACAUAAAAUAAGGGUGAAAUCUAAGGUCAUUAAAACAUUAAAUAAGGGUGAAAUCUCAGGUCAUUAAAACAUUAAAUAAGGGUGAAAUCUCAGGUCAUUAAAACAUAAAAUAAGGGUGAAAUCUAAGGUCAUUAAAACAUAAAAUAAGGGUGAAAUCUAAGGUCAUUAAAACAUAAAAUAAGGGUGAAAUCUAAGGUCAUUAAAACAUAAAAUAAGGGUGAAAUCUAAGGUCAUUAAAACAUAAAAUAAGGGUGAAAUCUCAGGUCAUUAAACAUAAAAUAAGGGUGAAAUCUCAGGUCAUUAAAACAUAAAAUAAGGGCGAAAUCUCAGGUCAUUAAAACAUAAAAUAAGGGUGAAAUCUCAGGUCAUUAAAACAUAAAAUAAGGGUGAAAUCUAAGGCCAUUAAAACAUAAAAUAAGGGUUAAAUCUAAGGUCAUUUAAACAUAAAAUAGGGGUAAAAUCUAAGGCCAUUAAAACAUAAAAUAAGGGUGAAAUCUCAGGUCAUUAAAACAUAAAAUAAGGGUGAAAUCUAAGGUCAUUAAAACAUUAAAUAAGGGUGAAAUCUAAGGUCAUUAAAACAUAAAAUAAGGGUGAAAUCUCAGGUCAUUAAAACAUAAAAUAAGGGUGAAAUCUAAGGUCAUUAAAACAUAAAAUAAGGGUGAAAUCUAAGGUCAUUAAAACAUAAAAUAAGGGUGAAAUCUAAGGUCAUUUAAACAUAAAAUAAAGGUGAAAUCUCAGGUCAUUAAAACAUAAAAUAAGGGUGAAAUCUAAGGUCAUUAAAACAUAAAGUAAGGGUGAAAUCUCAGGUCAUUAAAACAUAAAAUAAGGGUGAAAUCUCAGGUCAUUAAAACAUAAAAUAAGGGUGAAAUCUCAGGUCAUUAAAACAUAAAAUAAGGGUGAAAUCUCAGGUCAUUAAAACAUAAAAUAAGGGUGAAAUCUCAGGUCAUUAAAACAUAAAAUAAGGGUGAAAUCUCAGGUCAUUAAAACAUAAAAUAAGGGUGAAAUCUCAGGUCAUUAAAACAUAAAAUAAGGGUGAAAUCUCAGGUCAUUAAAACAUAAAAUAAGGGUGAAAUCUCAGGUCAUUAAAACAUAAAAUAAGGGUGAAAUCUCAGGUCAUUAAAACAUAAAAUAAGGGUGAAAUCUCAGGUCAUUAAAACAUAAAAUAAGGGUGAAAUCUCAGGUCAUUAAAACAUAAAAUAAGGGUGAAAUCUCAGGUCAUUAAAACAUAAAAUAAGGGUGAAAUCUAAGGUCAUUUAAACAUAAAAUAAAGGUGAAAUCUCAGGUCAUUAAAACAUAAAAUAAGGGUGAAAUCUAAGGUCAUUAAAACAUAAAGUAAGGGUGAAAUCUCAGGUCAUUAAAACAUAAAAUAAGGGUGAAAUCUCAGGUCAUUAAAACAUAAAAUAAGGGUGAAAUCUCAGGUCAUUAAAACAUAAAAUAAGGGUGAAAUCUCAGGUCAUUUAAACAUUAAAUAAGGGUUAACUCUUAGGUCAUUAAAACAUAAAAUAAGGGUGAAAUCUCAGGUCAUUAAAACAUAAAAUAAGGGUGAAAUCUCAGGUCAUUAAAACAUAAAAUAAGGGUGAAAUCUCAGGUCAUUAAAACAUAAAAUAAGGGUGAAAUCUCAGGUCAAUAAAGUGGAAAACAUAAAACAUAAGGACAGAAAACAAUAGUCCAUUUAACUUUACACAGGCAACACUAUCUAUAACACAAGGAACAGUUGAUGUAAUAUCUGAAUCUGUUAGAGGAUAACAGAGCCUGCUCAACUAAUUAGUCACCUGAA